UUUCGUUAUUCACUAUUAUAAAAUAUACUUUUGCUAAUACCAUAUUACAACGACCGUUUAAUUAACUAUGACAAUGUCUCAUUUUUAGGCGCGUUUUUUUUUUUUUAUAUUUAUCAAAAGAUAUUUUAUUACGGUCAUUAUAAGCAAUGAUAUUUAAAUGUACAUGGAAUGACAGAGUUCGAAUUUUAGUACCAAUAAUUUUCUAUUUUUCUUUAUAAAG
rnacentral:lncRNA from 1 species